CGUAUCGACCAACCUACUAUCGAAGGAGGGAACGAACCGGCGAAAGUCGGACUAAUACCGCAUAAAACAGGGGCACCGCAUGGUGAUAUUUGUUAAAGAAAUUCGCUGAUAGAUGGGCAUGCGUUCCAUUAGGUAGUUGGUGAGGUAACGGCUCACCAAGCCGACGAUGGAUAGGGAACUGAGAGGUUGGUCCCCCACACUGGUACUGAGACACGGACCAGACUCCUACGGGAGGCAGCAGUGAGGAAUAUUGGUCAAUGGGCGGGAGCCUGAACCAGCCAAGUCGCGUGAAGGAAGAAGGAUCUAUGGUUCGUAAACUUCUUUUGCAGGGGAAUAAAGUGCAGGACGUGUCCUGUUUUGUAUGUACCCUGAGAAUAAGGAUCGGCUAACUCCGUGCCAGCCGCCGC
rnacentral:rRNA from 1 species